rnacentral:lncRNA from 1 species
AUUCCUUCCCGACGCUCUGUUCCUGGACAAUAACCUCCAGGUGCAAGAGCUGAAGCGAGUUGAGGAGGCUGAACUGAGAACAGGAUGCAAGAAGCCCUGUUGUCUCUACACCACAAGACGCAGAAUUUGUACAUUAUUUUUUCAUUUAAAGACUUGGAACCUUCCUAUAUUGCAGUUGAUGGAGGUGCUGAGGAGAGCUAAAUGUGCCUCCUUUAUUAGGCGCUAUUGUGAGACCUCCACCCCAGAGUGGGAAGAGAGACGACGCCUGCACAAAACCCGGCUUCGAAUCCAGUAACUUCGCGUUUCAGAACAAUCACCAAACAAAAACAAGUUUGAGAUACAAUAAGACCCUGCCUGGUCUAAUUGUCAAUCGGUCUUUUCUAACUUUUCCCUCCCUUCUCCUUUUGGAUGCUGUUUCCUCGUGCAGGAUCUAAACCAAGGGCUAUAUUUACAGACCAGCCCGCGAUUGCUGAAAAAUUAGCAUUUUAACGAUAUCAGUAGCUCUGGAAAGGAGAGAGAAGGGACUGUUGCCUGCCAUUUGGUAAUUGAAAUUUGAUGGGUAAACUAAUUAUGCCAUUAUUAUUAACAAAUAAAUUACUUAUUAAUUCCACCUAAUGUUGAUCUUUGAAGUAAAUACUGAUGCCUCACUCGUA